CUGGGCAACCCCAUGGUGAUGCACUGGGUCGGAUGAAGCCUUUUUCCAACAGAUCAUGCAACUGGGUCUUCAACUCGGCCAGCUCAGCUGGUGGCAUCCGAUAGGGUCUCUUGGAUAUUGGAGCGGUGCCGGGAACCAAAUCUAUGGAAAACUCCACAUCUCUAUCGGGUGGCAUGCCGGGCAAGUCUUUUGGAAACACAUCCGGGUACUCACAGACAACAG
rnacentral:lncRNA from 1 species